GAUGAACGCUGGCGGCGUGCCUAAUACAUGCGAGUCGAGCGAACAGAUGAGGAGCUUGCUCCUCUGACGUUAGCGGCGGACGGGUGAGUAACACGUGGAUAACCUACCUAUAAGACUGGGAUAACUUCGGGAAACCGGAGCUAAUACCGGAUAAUAUAUUGAACCGCAUGGUUCAAUAGUGAAAGACGGUUUUGCUGUCACUUAUAGAUGGAUCCGCGCCGCAUUAGCUAGUUGGUAAGGUAACGGCUUACCAAGGCAACGAUGCGUAGCCGACCUGAGAGGGUGAUCGGCCACACUGGAACUGAGACACGGUCCAGACUCCUACGGGAGGCAGCAGUAGGGAAUCUUCCGCAAUGGGCGAAAGCCUGACGGAGCAACGCCGCGUGAGUGAUGAAGGUCUGCGGAUCGUAAAACUCUGUUAUUAGGGAAGAACAAAUGUGUAAGUAACUAUGCACGUCUUGACGGUACCUAAUCAGAAAGCCACGGCUAACUACGUG
rnacentral:rRNA from 1 species